GCACUUCGGAAUGUCCGAAAAUGCCAAAGAGGCAAAGAGUGCAUUGUAACGGACCUCGCCUGUCCCGUCUGUUGCAUCGGCUUUGGCGAUUUCGGGCCAUUAUGGAGGAGCCCUACCUACUGUUGCUUUAGCUAGACGCGCGAUGGCACCUCGUCAGCCUGAGGUGGCCCGUCAACUACAAGUGGCUGGGUGUUUGCCGCUCAAGUCGAGGAACCUGCUGCCGCUAAUGAUGUCUUGGCAGGUAUGGCUUAAUACAAGCAAGCAGGUAUUUCGGCGUAAUGCGGAAUAGAUGCAUUGCAGACAUUUCCAUGGUCAGUUGCUACUAAUUAUGCAUUAAUAUAGUAGGGACCAGUGGACGGGUAGUUGAGGGUACCCGGGCAUGCUUGCGUCAGAAAGUAUAGAGCCUACUUGAGCAGGAGAAGUGCUAGACGGUACUAGCAAAUUGCUAGUAGUAGUUCUUGGACGAGAAAUGAGACUCGUGGUGUAGAUGAAAUGGUAAAGCGACUCUUGAGGCAAAGUGAUCAGUGGAUUACGAGAGUUGAGCCAUGAUACUCGUGGAUACCCAAGUAGUCCGAGAAUUUCGGAUAUCGUUAUGGUAAAUUGAACAGUGAAAGUAGAAUCACUGUUGAGAGUGCGGUAGAUUAGUGGCCAAGUAUGAGCACCUGGGCCUAGUGGUACCUCAAGGUGACGUAGGCGGUUGUGCUCGUGCAGCCGGUGUGCAUAGGCAAAGAUUGCCUAAUGCUGGACUUCGUGUGGAACGCUGUAGAGGCGUUGAGCGCUCGAGUUUAGACGCUCGGGGAGUACAGAUUCUAUUCAGCCGGAGGAGUGAGAUGGCAGUAGCACUGUAGCGUUGCUAANN
rnacentral:lncRNA from 1 species